CGCGUAGGCGGGAUGGCAAGUCGGUCGUGAAAUCCCUCGGCUCAACUGAGGAGCGUCGAUCGAUACUGCUGUUCUUGAGGAUUGCAGAGGAGACUGGAAUUCCCGGUGUAGCGGUGAAAUGUGUAGAGAUCGGGAGGAACACCGGUGGCGAAGGCGGGUCUCUGGGCAAUUCCUGACGCUGAGGCGCGAAAGCGUGGGAGCAAACG
rnacentral:rRNA from 1 species